CGACAGAGAAGGCGGCUCCCCUUCAUUACCUAACGGCUCCUUGUCCUCGAGACCCAAGGGCGUCGCCUCCUCCAGGAGGGGCGAGGGAGCUCCCUUCUCGAUUUCUGCAGCCCCGUGUGUGGCCCAGGUGCCAGCCCUGGUCACACCAUCUGCCCGUGUCUGUCUGUCUGUCUCCCUUGGCUGAUCCAAAGCUCCCGGGGGCAUAGAAGUGCCACCUUCUCCUCUGUGUCCCCAGCUGUUUGUCGGGCCAGGCUGGGAGCCGGUGAGCCAACAAUCCCUCCUCCCACGGUGGUCCUGGGUUCCAGGAUCCAGAAGGCUGGGCCUGGGUGGGAUGAAGCCUUGUCUUAGGUGACAAGCGACAGGGCCGGGCUAGGCUAGCGGGGCCAGCAGGGGAGGCCUGGCGCACUGGCCCCUGGCUCUGCCGUUCCUGUUGGUGUGGGGCGUGGCACACGAGUGUGCUGGAUUUUCUUAGAACAAGGCCGGCCACUGCCAGUUGCUGGUGCUUGCUGUUCCUCUGGGGCCUGCGACCUCUCACCGUCCUGGCUUGUCACUAGUGGCCACCGCAGCAUGGCUUGAUGAGUGGUGUAGGUCUGCACCCAGGAUCCAAACCCAGGCCGCCAAAGUGGAAUGCACCGGACUUCACCACUAUGCCACUAGGCCAGGCCCCCUAUGUGCUGCAUGCUUUUAGUAGAGGCCCUCUGGGGGCCGGAGGGAACUGAGCUCCCUCACCCUGGGGAUCCCAGGAUGCUUUUCUAGGAGGCGAGGGUCCGAGGGUGAGGGAUGCUAGAGGAAGCUGGAAACUUCCCUGGCUGUGUCCAGGGAGUUGCUGCUACUUCAAGAUUCCUGGAGAGGAGGAGAAAGGGAAGAGGGGCCUGGAGAGGGGGCCGGGGACCAGGCCACCAGGGCUCCACUUCAUCUGAGGCCAAGGGGCAAAGCCAGCCACAGAGAACCUUGUGUGGUUCGUACAGCACCUAGAUUUCUAUUGUUUUGUUGGAAUUGCAAUAUUUAGAAAUCAGGAUUAAAAACAAUCCAGCUUUCUGACUUACUCGAACAAUGGAAAACUCUGGCAGCCCUGGACCCACAGUCCUGCAUGACGAACACGAGUUGGAGCUGAGUGACAGCUGCCCAGUGUCAGGGGCCUGUGGUCUCCCGUUGUUCACAGUCUCCACCACUCCCUAUUGUCUCCCUCCAGCCUCCUUCACUCCUUGGUCCCCAGCCUGGUCCCCAAGGGCAUGUGAGUUUAUGGUUCCUGCUGGGGGCCAUGGGGAACCAUGUUAGGAUGGACCAUUGAGGCUGGAGUGGGAGCUUAGAGGGGACAAGCGGUUCCAGGAGCCCAGGGUGUUGUGGUCACUCCUUCCCCGGAUGCGGACAAGUCUUGACCCCACGCAGUGGGCGCGGGAUGGAAGGAUGGCACCCAGCAGCCACCAGCCCAGACUGAUGACAUUCGUGCGUUUGUGUCCUUUUCCCAGGCCGUGCCCGUCCCCUGCCCAUCAUGCCCUUCCAGCUGGCCUUUCAUCCCGCAGCGAACCUCUGUGUGUCCGGCUCAGAGUCUCCAUAAACCGCACCAUGGAGCUGGCCCGAAGGUUGUCAUCAGCAGUAAUUGCAGGCUUUCGACCCCACCCCGGGGACCCCCUUGCGCGGGGAGCCUUCGUUCUUGGACGCAUGGGUGGUAGACAGGCCUCUGCGCCGUCCCCAGGGCAUCACUAUCCUUGUGUCACCCUGCUUCCUUUGUCGUGAGCCAUGGACCAAGGCUCUGGGUGACUCGGCACCCGGUGCUCACAGUGUCUGUGAAACCAGAGCUCCAGAGAUCCCGGGAUGUGAUUCCAGUCCCGCGUCUGCCCCAGCUUCACUGAGGAGGGGGCCCCAGGAGGAAGUGGAGCAGCGGGGGUUCGGCCAUGUGCGUGGGACUCACGUGCUUGUUCCCGCGGGCCUCAUGGCUGGAGACAUCACUUCUACUUGCUUCUGGCUGCUCCUCUCUCCUGUUCUUGGGCGUGUGGCUUUCUUUUCUUCUUUGUGAGGAAGUGCUCUGGGAGGGAAGGAAAGUCACGGAGGGCUGUGGCAUGCCGUGGGCACGGGCCACUUCUCAAAGCCACCUGGGCGGCAGGCCUGGCUAGCCCAUCUUACAGAGGGGGAAACUGAGGCUGAGCUGCACAAUGAUGAGCAAGGGGGGCAUUGCUUCCGAGCUUGGCAGCCAGGAGACCUCCCCUCUGCCAUGAAGGCCCUGCUGCUGUCCCCUUGCUUUUCUGUGACAUGUGACGUUGAGAAGGCCAUGC
rnacentral:lncRNA from 1 species